GCUGGGGGCUCAGGAUGCAAGGCCCAGUUGAGGGGUGGGAAGGAUGGGGGUUCUGGGGCCCCAUGGGACUAGAAGCUGUACAAGAGACAGUCACUGCCCCAGAGGGUUUACAGUCUAUCUAGACAAGACAAAGUAUUAUCCCCAUUUUACAGCUGGGCGCUGAGGCAUGGAGAAAUUAAAGCUCAGAUCCUCACAGGUAUUUUAAAUCAAUAGGCGUUAGGCACCUGAAUACCUUUGAAGACAUGAGCCUAAGGUCGGGUCGACACUUAACGAUUAGAUCAACCUAGCUAUGUCGCACAGGGUGAUGAAAAACUUCGUACCCUCAACAACACAGGGCGACUAACCCCGGUACAGAUGCAACUCGGUUGACAGAAGAUCAACCUAGCUACCGCCUCUCAGAGAAGUGGAUUAACUACAUUGAUGGAAAAACCUCUACUGUCGAUGUAGAAAGUGUACACUGUGCUGUUGUAGCGGCUACGGUGUACACAUGGCCUAAAUGACUUGCCCAAUGUCAAACAGGGAAGCUGUGGCAGAGUUGGUGACUAAAAGAUUUUCUGCGAGAGCAUCUUUCCUAAGAAAAAGCCAUGGGGUCUGGGGCAAGGUUCUUAUCUGGAGCAUGAACAAACCAGAUCGUUCUGGUGAUUAUUUCCGUAGUCCAAGAGGAGGUCCACGCGUUGCUGCUACUGCUGCAUCAAGGUGGUCGGUGGAUUCGUCCUGCUCAUACUGAUAGCAUCAGUCUUCACGGUGCUGUGGUAUUUUCUAGACCCUCGCCCAUGUCAAAAGCCGUCUCCACCCAAUCGCUCCUAUGGAGAGAGAGAGAAGAGAAUGAGCAGCUAACUUCAGCCCAAAAUAUCCCUGGGCAGGCUGAAGGAAUUAAAACCAGUCGAUAUUUCAUGGGCUCAUUCCAGCUGGUGAAUGAAAUCUACUAUUCCCGUCACAGCAACUCUGCUUCGGACACAUUCAAGAGGGAGGCUGCGAAGCUGGAGAACGUGAUCGCUGGUGCGUUUGGUAGGAGUGCCCUGAACAAGAGCUACCAGGGCUUGGCUGUGCUGGCAUUGAGCCCAAGUCCCUUCACGGAGCACUUCAGGCUGCAGUUCAGUGGCACUGAAACGUCAGCGAGGCUCAGCAAUGCCGUGGUGGCGCACGAAUUGGCACAAGAGUACCAGGGCGCAGGGGACAAAGUCGAAAUGUCCAUGGACGUUGGCAGCUUGCUGGUGAGAGAUUAUGGCACUUGCUCGUCGGUGCCUGGGGGUGACACCGAUGCACCGUGGCCAUGGCAAGCCGCAGAGCGGAAGAACGGAGACCCAGCAUGUGCAGGAAGCCUGAUCUCAGAGGGCUGGGUGUUGUGCAUGGCAAGUUGUGUCACAACCAGAUGGCAGCUGGAGGAGCCUGUGCGUGCCCAGGAAAGAGAGCUGCUUUUCAUUGAAAGAAUCAUUCCAUCCACGAUAAAACACCAAACCCGGCAUCCCUAUGCUGCAUUCGCUAAGGUUGCUCCUUUUGUUCCAUGGAUGCAACCCUACCUUCUCACCUGA
ensembl:lncRNA